GCCGGGUGUGGUGCCUUGCACCUGUAAUCCCAGCUACUCCGGAGGCUGAGGUUGGAGAAUCACUUGAACCCAGGAGGUGGAGAUUGCAGUGAGCUGAGAUCACACCCCUGCACUCCAACCUGGGUGACAGAGUGAGAUUCCAUCUCAA
ensembl:misc_RNA Metazoa_SRP Metazoan signal recognition particle RNA